UUUCGCUUGUUAGCGGUGUUUAAACAGAGAUCUCGCCAUUAUGCUAGAUUCUUCAAGUGAAGAUGAAAGCCAGGAGGAUACAUCCGACAUUUCAGCCCCCAUUUUAUUAUUAACCAAAAUAACUUAAUUUAUGGGUCGAUUACGGAUGGCAACACAACCACGCUUCGGUUGUCAGCUGGCAAUGCAACUGGAAAGAAAAUUUGUAUUACGAAUGGCAACUAUCCUCAGUUGCUGUAGUUAUCGAUAAUCGAAAUUUGACAGUUCAACAACCAGCAAGCGGCUGCAAACAAGCUGUGCGAGAGGAAGAGAAAUGCAUGAACGCGUCCUCAAUCAGGCGACACUUAAAGGAUAAUUCCAAUCCUCUAGAGCUACCGCGUGUACUGUAAGCAAAAGUUAAUGGUUUCUUUUGUUAUCGUUUUGUGUUCAUUUUCAAAGCAUAUUGAGGACUUCCAAAAGAAGCUGUAGUAUAAUUGGUUAAUAAACAGAUGAACCACUUCGUUCAAUUUCAAUACCUCCGCUCAUAAAAGCUUGCGCACAUCUUCGAUUUUUCGCAGAAGGAACUGCCACAGCAAUGACUUUAAUUUGGAAAACUGGGUGUGUCGGUAGUUUUAAAAAAGGUGCUUCAAUUGAUAAAGGAAAAAAAUUGCAAUCAGUGUUCGCUUUUUUUUCGCCAAAAGGGCGUUGUCCACGGGAACUAAAAUUUCAAGAUAUUGGUUUGUUAUUUUCACCAUAUUCUGUAAAAGCAAACUGCAUUGCAAAAUGUUAAUAUCGUUCAAAUUAUUAAAUAUAUGACACACUUUUCAAUUUUCGCUCCUAAAUACGCUCCAAAAACAUUCCCAGCAACCACUAAAAUGUAGUCGCCUGUAU